AUUGAACGCUGGCGGCAGGCCUAACACAUGCAAGUCGAGCGGUAGCACAGAGAGCUUGCUCUCGGGUGACGAGCGGCGAACGGGUGAGUAAUGUCUGGGAAACUGCCUGAUGGAGGGGGAUAACUACUGGAAACGGUAGCUAAUACCGCAUAACGUCGCAAGACCAAAGUGGGGGACCUUCGGGCCUCAUGCCAUCAGAUGUGCCCAGAUGGGAUUAGCUAGUAGGUGGGGUAACGGCUCACCUAGGCGACGAUCCCUAGCUGGUCUGAGAGGAUGACCAGCCACACUGGAACUGAGACACGGUCCAGACUCCUACGGGAGGCAGCAGUGGGGAAUAUUGCACAAUGGGCGCAAGCCUGAUGCAGCCAUGCCGCGUGUGUGAAGAAGGCCUUCGGGUUGUAAAGCACUUUCAGCGGGGAGGAAGGCGGUGAGGUUAAUAACCUCAUCGAUUGACGUUACCCGCAGAAGAAGCACCGGCUAACUCCGUGCCAGCAGCCGCGGUAAUACGGAGGGUGCAAGCGUUAAUCGGAAUUACUGGGCGUAAAGCGCACGCAGGCGGUCUGUCAAGUCGGAUGUGAAAUCCCCGGGCUCAACCUGGGAACUGCAUUCGAAACUGGCAGGCUAGAGUCUUGUAGAGGGGGGUAGAAUUCCAGGUGUAGCGGUGAAAUGCGUAGAGAUCUGGAGGAAUACCGGUGGCGAAGGCGGCCCCCUGGACAAAGACUGACGCUCAGGUGCGAAAGCGUGGGGAGCAAACAGGAUUAGAUACCCUGGUAGUCCACGCCGUAAACGAUGUCGAUUUGGAGGUUGUGCCCUUGAGGCGUGGCUUCCGGAGCUAACGCGUUAAAUCGACCGCCUGGGGAGUACGGCCGCAAGGUUAAAACUCAAAUGAAUUGACGGGGGCCCGCACAAGCGGUGGAGCAUGUGGUUUAAUUCGAUGCAACGCGAAGAACCUUACCUGGUCUUGACAUCCACAGAACUUUCCAGAGAUGGAUUGGUGCCUUCGGGAACUGUGAGACAGGUGCUGCAUGGCUGUCGUCAGCUCGUGUUGUGAAAUGUUGGGUUAAGUCCCGCAACGAGCGCAACCCUUAUCCUUUGUUGCCAGCGGUCCGGCCGGGAACUCAAAGGAGACUGCCAGUGAUAAACUGGAGGAAGGUGGGGAUGACGUCAAGUCAUCAUGGCCCUUACGACCAGGGCUACACACGUGCUACAAUGGCAUAUACAAAGAGAAGCGACCUCGCGAGAGCAAGCGGACCUCAUAAAGUAUGUCGUAGUCCGGAUUGGAGUCUGCAACUCGACUCCAUGAAGUCGGAAUCGCUAGUAAUCGUAGAUCAGAAUGCUACGGUGAAUACGUUCCCGGGCCUUGUACACACCGCCCGUCACACCAUGGGAGUGGGUUGCAAAAGAAGUAGGUAGCUUAACCUUCGGGAGGGCGCUUACCACUUUGUGAUUCAUGACUGGGGUGA
rnacentral:rRNA from 1 species